rnacentral:rRNA from 1 species
UUUCUUCGGAAUGACGAGGUUUGUGACUGAGCGGCGGACGGGUGAGUAACGCGUGGGCAACCUGCCUCACACAGGGGGAUAACAGUUAGAAAUGACUGCUAAUACCGCAUAAGCGCACAGUACCGCAUGGUACGGUGUGAAAAAACUCCGGUGGUACAAGAUGGACCCGCGUCUGAUUAGCUAGUUGGCAGGGCAACGGCCUACCAAGCCGACGAUCAGUAGCCGACCUGAGAGGGUGACCGGCCACAUUGGGACUGAGACACGGCCCAAACUCC